rnacentral:tRNA from 1 species
ACCUGGGUGGCUAAGUUGGUUAAGCACCUGACUUUGACUCAGGUCAUGAUCCCAGGGU